AUAACUACUGUUUAUUAUUACAGGUAUAUUGGGAUCUUUGAAUGGUUAUGCAGGUGCUAGGAGUUGAAUCCAAGUUCUGCAAGAGUAAAGUGUUUUUGUUGUUGUUGUUGUUUAUUGAUUUUUAUUUUUUAAUUUUUUUGGUAUGAGGUUUCUGAGACAGGUUCCAUAGUUCUGGCUGUCCUGGAGCUCACUUGUAGAACAAGAGCCUUGAUUUUACAGAGAUCUCCUGCCUCUGCCUCCCAAGUGCUGGAAUUCAAGGCAUGUGUGCUACCACUCCUUCCCAUAACAAGUGCUCUUAAUUCCUGAGCUACCUCUAGCUCUAUUUUUAUUUAUUUUAAUCAUACUUGUUUAUGUAUCUGUGCUUGUCUGUGCAUAGGAGGAGUCCAGGUACCUACAGAGGCCAGGAGGUGUUAGCUCCCCUAGGAGUUGGAGUUACAGGAAGUUGUGAGCUGCUUGGGUAUUUGAAAUCAUACUUGGGUACUCUGGAAGAGCAGCAGGUGUGUGUUCUUUACCAUCAAGCCUUCUUUUGGCCCCAGUUUAAUCUUGAGUAAAGUAGAUAUUUAAAAGAUAGAAUGUCUUGAAGUUAAUGAUAACCAUUGAUAAAAUUAAGAUAAAAAAUUAGCGUUACUGUUAUGAAAAGUAAUGUGUAUGGUUGGGCACAGUGCUGUGAGCCUGUAGUUCAUGGUGAGGAGGCUGAGGCACAGAAAUGAUUGACGUUGAUGCUUACUGAGACUCUGGCUCAAAAAGUCAAAACAGAUUGGGUAUAGUAAUGAUGACUUGUCAUCUCAAGAGGCUCACUGAAAAUUCAAGACCAGUCUGGGCUACUACCUAACAAGACCCUGACUCAUAAUAAAACAACAACAAAAUAACAAAAAAGGACAAAGUACCGUGAAUUGACAAAAAUACUGUACUACAAUGAUAGCUUAAAAUUUAUUUUUAUGAUAAUUAUACUUCUUAGUGUAGAAAAAUGGGAGUGGGGCUGGUGAGAUGGCUCAGUGGGUAAGAGCACCCGACUGCUUUUCCAAAGGUCCAGAGUUCAAAUCCCAGCAACCACAUGGUGGCUCACAACCAUCUGUGACAAGAUCUGACGCCCUCUCCUGGAGUGUCUGAAGACAGCUACAGUGUACUUACAUAUAAUAAUAAAUAAAAAUC
rnacentral:lncRNA from 1 species